AAAGGAACUGCAGCAGGACCCUGUAGACCAGGGGUGGGGAACCCCCGGCCUCCGGGCCGUAUACGAGACCAUUUCUACCGGCCCGCAACGCAAUAAGAUUUUUAUAUUUUAUAUGUGCACGUAUACAGUGGGACCGUUCGCUAAACUCCGCGAGCUGCGAGUAGCAGCGGUAGCGUAUUUUUGCCUUUCGUGUCCUGAAAUUUCUUUCGUAACAAGAGGAAAUAUUUUCCCGUUUUCUGAGAUAAAACAGAUGAGUGAAUUAAUAGCCACGAAGCUGAAACCUCACGUGAACGUGCCUCGUAGCCGCCGCUGAGGCGCUCGCGCCGGACAACGUAAAAUUGUUUCAAAGUGUGAAUUUUUUUUCGUGAAUAACUACUUAACUAAGACAUAUAUUGUUAUGAUUCCAGUGGCUAACGGUAUGUUUUUAUGGUCAAGGAAUCUAAAUAUGUAGUCAAAGUAUAUGUGGGACUAAUAUUUAUGGUGGAAAUCACAAUAUGCCAGGAAUUGUUGCGCUUGGCGGAGGUCUGCGCUCUCCGAGUGCUUUCUAGUUGUUAUUAUUAUUGUCUUUAUCUUUCUUUCUUUUAAUUUAUUUUCUUGAUUAUCUUGUUGUAUUGCAGUUUUUGUGAGUAGAGGCCUCAAACAGGCCCUUACUGGUCUCUUGCUUCAACUCUGCACCUCUUUUUUUAUUGUUUUGUAUGAUCAUGAAAACAUAUUUUACUUGUUUGUCAUUUUAUUCUAUUUUUUUGGUGAUUUUAUAUGCAUGUGUGUUAAAUAAAUAAUUCAAACUCAAAUGCAGCAAUCAUGAGACUUAGUAACACAGUGGUUAUAGACUUUUUUUUUGUCUUUUUUUGCAUCCCUAGCUAUGUGUUCGUAAUAGUAUGGCCCUCGGAGGACUUUAUAAAAAUUGAAAUGGCCCUCGAUAUGAAAAAGGUUCCCCACCCCUGCUGUAGACAGAGCAAAAAGCAGCAAAAUGCCCAAAGCUUGCCUCUCCACGCCUGAUUUCUGACGCCAUGUUGAACAAUCAAGAAAGGAUGGCUAACACGCUUGAUAAAAUUGCCUCAACCCUGAUGACUAUAGCCAACACGCUUAAAGAAAUCAACAAGAAUGUAAAAAAAAUAAGAAUGUAAAAAAAAAAAAAUGUGUAAAAGCUGUGCUCUGAAACCGGUCUCUCUUAUUUUUUCUUUUUGAAAUGAGUCAAGACUGUUAGACUGAAAUUGUGACAAUAAUGCAUUUUAUUUACAAACGGGCAAUUAAUCGCGCUCGAACGUGAACGCCACAAUCCAGAGAGAGACGCUGAAAAUCAUCAGCACCGUCCCUGGGUAGGUGGUCAUCAGCGUUUUCCUACAGUCUGGCGCUAUCAUUGCGUCAGGAUGCACAUCCUCACGGGGUUGUGGCUCUGUGUCCAAGCACAUCCAGCGCCCCUUUAAAAUGCUGAUGGUGCGUUCAAUGGUGGAGCGACUGCGCGCAUGCAUCUGAUUGAAUAAAAUUUCCUGUGGAGUCUAAGGGUUGGUCAGUGGUGUCAACAACCAGGGAGCCAGGGCAUAUCCUUGAUCCCCUAAUAAAAUAAAUCAAGAUAAAAUCAAAUAAAAAGACAGUUUUGGCAUGGUUUCCAAUUUGGUUGAUUAAUGUUAAGUCAUUGGCACAUUUACGUAAUUUUAAAAUUCUCUGUAAAUCACCAAAAAUAGGAAAUAAAUAAAUAAAUAUGACAGAAUUAUCAUUGUAAUAUUGAAUUUUAUUGAACUGCACAAGAGAAGAAAACACAACCAUGCCAACAUGUCGGCACUGAAAUGUGCGUAAGAGUACUCCUGAGUGUUCGUAGGAUUUGUUCUUAUCUACGCAUAAAUCCAGGAUAAGAAGAAAUUAAUGAAUGCCACAAUCUUCGUAAAAUGUUCGUAAAUGGGACUUAAGAACAAAUUUGUUCGUAAGAACGUUUCGUGAAUGAGGCCCAUUCUGUUCAGCAAAGUCGACUUGCGCAGCCACACCUUCAGGCCCAACACACAAACACGGUGAUGUAAUCAUCCAGAAAUUUCCCUAUAACUUUUUUUCUAAACGCAUCCUGAUACACCUCAUUAUUCCCACGGUUGUAAAAUAGGGUGACAUGAUAGGGAUCAACUGGCGGGGCAAAAGGACCUAGCAUCGACAACCAGGGCCUCCAGCUCUGAAACAAUGCCACAACACCGACACCAGGUGAGGUCUCAGGCUCAAGUUCUCCCCAAUAAAUGUCCGCCCACACCCCCGGUUCUGGAAAGGGUGUCGGACUAAUCAGCAUUUGUCCGUUUCAUUCCUUGGUGUGAAAUACAGCAGUUCAAUUUCAUUUCAUUAGGAAAUUGCACCACCAGACCUUUGUCUCCACACAGAAUAGCUGCUCCUGUCCUCACCAGGAGAUCUCGUCCCAACAGGUUGAUAGGGCAAUGUGGUGAAAUUUAAAAAAAGGGUGCAACACAGUCUG
rnacentral:lncRNA from 1 species